GACGAACGCUGGCGGCGCGCCUAACACAUGCAAGUCGAACGAGCGAGAGAGAGCUUGCUUUCUCGAGCCAGUGGCGAACGGGUGAGUAACGCGUGAGGAACCUGCCUCAAAGAGGGGGACAACAGUUGGAAACGACUGCUAAUACCGCAUAAGCCCACGGCUCGGCAUCGAGCAGGGGGAAAAGGAGCAAUCCGCUUUGAGAUGGCCUCGCGUCCGAUUAGCUAGUUGGUGAGGUAACGGCCCACCAAGGCGACGAUCGGUAGCCGGACUGAGAGGUUGAACGGCCACAUUGGGACUGAGACACGGCCCAGACUCCUACGGGAGGCAGCAGUGGGGAAUAUUGCACAAUGGGGGAAACCCUGAUGCAGCGACGCCGCGUGGAGGAAGAAGGUCUUCGGAUUGUAAACUCCUGUUGUUGGGGAAGAUAAUGACGGUACCCAACAAGGAAGUGACGGCUAACUACGUG
rnacentral:rRNA from 1 species